rnacentral:rRNA from 1 species
GACGAACGCUGGCGGCGUGCUUAACACAUGCAAGUCGAACGCUGAAGCUCAGCUUUUGUUGGGUGGAUGAGUGGCGAACGGGUGAGUAACACGUGAGUAACCUGCCUCCUUCUUUGGGAUAACGCCCGGGAACGGGUGCUAAUACUGGAUAUUCACUGGUCUUCGCAUUGGGGUUGGUGUAAAGGGUUUUUCUGGUGGGGGAUGUGCUCGCGGCCUAUCAGCUUGUUGGUGUGGGUAUGGCCUACCAGGGCUAUGACGCAUAGCCGGCCUGAGAGGGUGAGCGGGCACACGGGCACAGUGGCACUGAGCUGAGGCCCAGGGUACUCCGGGGGGGAGAAGCGGGGGCAAAUGGCCAAUGGGCGACAGACCGAUGCCGCGGCGGUGCGGGAGGGAUUGAGGCCUUAGGGUUGUGAAACUCUUUCGGUACAGGUGAAGACGCAACAAUGGAUGUCGUGAGGGUAGUUGGUAAAAAAGCGCCGGCUAACUACGUG